GUGCUUGCUUUAUCAGCACAUAUUACUAAAACUGAAAUGAUACAGAAAAGCCUACCAUAACCCUCAUGCAAGGGAGACAUACUAAUUCUUAAACUGUUUUAUAUUUUU